AGGACGAACGCUGGCGGCGUGCUUAACACAUGCAAGUCGAGCGGUAAGGCCUUUCGGGGUACGCGAGCGGCGAACGGGUGAGUAACACGUGGGUGAUCUGCCCUGCACUUCGGGAUAAGCCUGGGAAACUGGGUCUAAUACCGGAUAUGACCUCCGAUCGCAUGGUUGGUGGUGGAAAGAUUUAUCGGUGCAGGAUGGGCCCGCGGCCUAUCAGCUUGUUGGUGGGUAAUGGCCUACCAAGGCGACGACGGGUA
rnacentral:rRNA from 1 species